GCAUUAAUGGGGUAGUGGUAACCUGGGUCGUUGCCAUUGUUGAUGUGAUCUCGACCCGCCGGGGGUUCAAUUCCCCCUUAAUGCA